CAUCACAGUGUCUGAUUCAUAGGUGGGUGGAGGAGCGGGGAAGGGACCGCUCGAGAAUUUUCAUGAGUUGCAGGAGUUCCAGGUUCCCAGCUGCUGCGAUUUAGAGACUAAACUCUAAGCCGGGGAACCCUGCCGGGCUGGGAGACGCGGAGGCGGAAGGGGUUUUGUACAAGCCGCGCCUGCGAGCCAUCCAAGGCGACUCACGCUCGGAUCCGGUAAGGCUGAUGCCCCUACGAAAGCGGACGUCUGGACGCAGAGGGAGGACGGUGAGAAGACCCUGGGCUCUUGGAUCCCGGCCUCCAGGCUGGGAGAACAGAUAUUUCAGUGUUUGAGCCCCGCCCCUAUCGGUAGCGUUUUGUUACCCAGCAGCAGCAUCCUGAGCUGACUAAUACAGUCACACCCCAGUGACGUCACCACGCACCCGGGGUGGUGUGAGCGUCCCGCCAGCGCCCCCUGGUGACUGAAGGUGGACAUUAUCUCUUUUCAGGGAUGUCACCCCUGCGGUUCCAAGGCUGGGCCCGAGGCCACGCAGGGGCUAAGUGUCACGUGGGGAUCUGAGCCAGGUCUGCACCCCAGGUCCCAGCUCGCUUUGCUCCGACAGUCUGGGGUUGUUUCUUGAGACCCGCGGAAAGUGCUGGUGCCGUGGGGGCAGGGGGAGGGCAGGGGGGGCAGGACCCAGAGGCAAGGCUGAGGUUCUCCUCCAGGCCCUGGUGGUCUUUCUCAGCCCAGCCACGGCUUCUAGACCCUUAGGAUCCCAAUUCAGAGUCCGCUGCUGGUGAUCUCUGCCCCUCUCUCCCACGGGCCAUCCUGGGAGCCCUGUUCACACAGACCCAAACUUCCAGGGACGGUCAGGGCCAGCCGGACCUCCGCGUGUUCCCUCGGAUGGGUGAGCACAGCCUGUGACCUGUGACCGUAAGAGCUUCCUCCCACACUGGGAGGCCUGCCUGUUUUCCGCAGUGGAAGUUUAUGGCACUCCAUACCUUCUCUCUCAAGCUCGAGUUCCCAGACUACAAUCCCCGUCUCCUGGAGGCCACCAGCUGCUGGAUUAAGAGCCCAGCCGAAUCCAGGAGGACUUCACCUUGACAUCCCUAACUUAGUGACCUCGGUGAGGGCCCCAUCUCCAACUGAGGUUGGAUGACAGACCCCAGUCCUCAGCGGACCAGAGUUCCGGCAGGCUCGGCCACGGGACAGUCGCGGGGUCUGCCCAGGUCUCGCUGGCUUCGGGUCUCACAGAGUGCGGGCUCCUUGUCCUGCAGACGCCAGAGCUCUCUGUCCCUACUGCCGCGGUCUGUGGGGCUGGGUCUGUGCUCUUCCCAGGGUGCUUUCCCGCAGUUUCCCCAAUAAUCCUCAACUGCCCCGUGAGCGCGUUAGAGCUCCGAGUGUGUUUACUUCAGUAAAUAGGUGUUAGAGUUCCAUCCCUGGGUUGGGAAGAUCCCCCGGAGUAGGAAGUGACGACCCACUCAGGUCUUCUUGCCUGGAGGAUCCCAUGGACGGAGGAGUCUGGCGGGGUACGAUCCAUGGGGUCAUAAAGAGUCGGACAAGAUUGAAACAACUUUGCACAGAUAUUAGAGACUUGCUUAAAUUUCCCUAGAUUUCGACAGAAGUCAUAGUGUUGGUCCCAGAAGCUGGGUGGAUUUAUUUCUGAAAGGACGGUGAAUUCCUGUAACAUGGGACCUUUGUACGUUUCAUUUCCUUACUGUCAAUGUAGGAGGGAAGGCACGAUGUCCCGUGGUCACGUGACGUAACCCCGGCGGAAGUGGCUCCUCCCGCGUGCAGGCUGGUGUGGGGGGCAUUUCCUGCCCCUGAAGCAGUGCUGUGAGCCACGCAGGCUGUGUGGCGUUAUCAGCCCUGGUUCUAUUAGACUGCGCCUCUGAUAGAACUCCGGGAGAGGGGGGAUUUGGGUUCCCAUCUGUGCUGUGAAGUUAGCAGCUCUUGCAGCCUUAUGUUACACUAUGCUCUUUUCUCUUGUGAAUGUAUAUUAACAGAUACGUGUGUAUGUGUGUGCAUGUGUAUCUACGUGAACACACACAUUUGUUUUCCUCAGCUUUACCACUUACCGCUUUCUUCUUAUAAAAGUUGAAACCACUUACUGAUAAUGAGUCCUUUCACCAUGUGAUCUAUUCUAUGUGUUGUGUGCUUAACAGGCUUGCCAUUAGAACCGUUCAUUUGUUUUACGUGUGAUUCCACCGAUCAAAUGCUAGGGCUGCAGGCCGCCCUAGAACAUUGUGCAGUUUCCCAAGGUGAUAAAGGUCAGGCAGUCAAAUAACCAGCCAAGGCCUCCUUCUCCUGGCCCUCGCAGGGCUAGCUUCGGUUCUACACAGCCCUGCUUUCCAAGGUGUGACACGGCGUGUGCUGUGACCUCGCCUGAGUAUCCCGCUAACCCAGAGAUCCAACUUUCCUGGAGACCUCCUACCUCUUUCCACAUCCCACUCCCCCCCACCCCAGGCCCACCUCCUUCUCGGCAAGAGUGCUACUCCGUAUGAGGACCCACGUGCCACCCCCAUCAGGGUCUCAGGGCACGUGUGCUUGGCCCAGAACCACCAGAACCUUCUGCUGAGAUCUGGAUGCCACAGGAGAGUGUUGACUUGGAAGCUCUUCUCUUAAGGCCAGUCUGGUUUUUUCGUGCCUGACGAUCACCGGGUCGGCCUCUCCUGCACCAGCUCGGGGAUCGCCAUCAAUACAGCAGGGUUGGAGUGCACCCCUCGAUUGCUGAGACUGUGGGAAAAUGCAGGAUUUGCCCAUGAGAUGCAAGUAGUAAUUCCACAGAAUGAUGAAAGCUGAACGAGGAAAAAGAGAGCCACCGAUAAUUAUGGUCGGAGCUGUGAUCUUCAAAGAAGAUGUUGAAUGGAAGCUGAAGGAAAAUCUGUAAGACAGCAUGUGCGGAGCAGUGAAUCACAGCUAAUAGUUGGGGAAAUCGUGGUAAAAUAUUUAAAACCAAAAGUCCCCAGGGGGGCCUGUGAUCAUCUAAGACACUUUGUUAAAAGCCAGCGGAAGUGACACAAUACAUCUAAAUACCACGUGAAGGUCCAGCUAAUUUUUUUAUAGGUAUGUGCCACAAAGAAGGAAGCCAAACAAAUGUCUACCUUCCGGUUGUGCAGGAGGAAAAUUCUCAGUGAUUUUUUCUUCAAAUUCGUGCCAGCACUUCUCACGUUCCAGGCUCUGUGCUGGCUGCUGGCAUCAAGUCCAUCCUCAGAGCCAGCCAUGGUCUCUGCACCUGCGAGCCCUGGAUCCCACAGAGAAGAUUCACCAGAAACACACGCGGAGAGGAAUCCACGCCAUGGAAGAGGUGACUUGCUGCUGAGACGUGGAGAAGAGGGUUGUUGCAGAUGGCGGGGAUGGUGGAGGGGAAGGGCGAGAGUGAGCAGGAUUCCUGAGCUCUGGAGCGAGCCCAAAGUGGAAGAGAAGCUGGUUUUCUGGAUACAGAUAGAAUGCGAGGAUUUAUAUUCACGACAGGAGAGGUUAGGUAUCAGAGCAUGACUGAAACAGACAGGGUAAGACAGCCACAUGGCUUCAGGCCCUGGGGAGACACCCCAGAAGUUGAAGAGCUGAAUUCUUGAACAGGGUCAGGAAGGACUAAGAAGAACUCGUUAGCAAUAGAUUUAUGAGGACCUAUUGACGAUGCUGGAAACAGCCUGGCAGGGCCCCCAGCUCCUGAUACCAGUGUCACGGGCCCCAAGCUGGUCCUCACUUGUGGGGCCUUAAGAGCAGAGCUCUUGGCCCCGGAGGAGGACUUGACUCUCUGCGGGGCUGGGCCUGCCCGCGGCCCUGUAGGGAGGGACACAGCUGCCGCUCCCGCCUGGUGAGAUCCAGCACCGCCCUCUGCCUCACCAUCUGGUCAAGAACUCCCAAGCACUCCACAAGCAUCGUGCUGCCUUGGGCAAGAGCGUGGGGCUGGUUUCAGGAUCCGGCGUCCUUUGAGUGGCCGGAGGCGAGAGAGUCGCUGGAAAGAGCAGAGUCUGGAAGAAGAAUCCCAGCGAUGCCGUCACCUUCUGUAGGACAGAUACUAACGGAGUUUACUCCAUGCUAGGCUGGGUGUGUUAUUUUUUCCAGGCCCAAGACCAUCCUCCUGCUGAUCACAAAACAAGCCAAUCAACAAAGACACAAGUAGUUGAGGUGAGAAAUAGCAACUUCAUUCGGAAAGCCGGCAGACCAGACGAGAAGGUGGUGGACCUGUGUCCUGCAGAUCCACCCCGCCUCAGUUAGCAUUCAGACCUCUUUUAUACUAAAAGGAGAGGGAGUUAAGUCCCGGUUCUGGGCAACCUCCAGAGGGGAUGUGUUAUUAAUAAUUUCUUCCUUCCUUCAACUAUUCACAGUGGGCUGGUCGGGAAAUUUCCUGUAAGCUAAAUAAAAGUAUUUUAGUUCAACGCCCAGGUAUUGGAAGCAAGGUUCCCAGAGAGGGGCCAUUAUGUAAAGGUUAAGCUUAUAGACAGCAUCUGCUGAGUGAUCAACUUGGGGCUUCCCGGAUGGUUCGGUGGUGAAGAAUCUGACUUCAGUGCAGGAGACGCAGGAGACGUGGGUUUGAUCCCUGGGUCAGGAAGAUCCCCUGGAGAAGGAAAUGACAACCCCCUCCAGUAUUCUUGCCUGGAGAAUCCCAUGGACAGAGGAGCCUGGAGGGCUGCAGUCCAUAGUGCCGCAAAGAGUCGGACAUGACUGAAGUGACUUAGCACGGGAGGGUGUGGAAACCUCCCACAGGCUUGAGCUGGUGUGCGUGUGGGACAUUAUUUCUUUGCUCCUUCUGUCGACAUGAGGUCCAGGGAUUGUUGACAGAACACAAACCCUUUCCCCCCAGUGGAAAGCUACCUUUCAGAUGAUACCAAUUAUCUACCUGGGAACCAAAAAUGUCCACGUGCCUUAAAACACGUAACGUGUGUGUUCCCUGAGUUGUUGUUUUGUUGUUCUUUAGUCGCUGCGUCGUGUCCAGCUCUCUGCGACCCCGUGGACUGCAGCCCGCCAGGCUCCGCUGUCCUUGGGAGUUCCCAGGCAGGAAUCCUGGAGUGGACCGCCACUGGCUGCCCACGUCCUGCAUUAGACGGGUGCAGAAUGA